rnacentral:rRNA from 1 species
CCUACGGGAGGCAGCAGUGAGGAAUAUUGGUCAAUGGGCUUACGCCUGAACCAGCCAAGUCGCGUGAGGGAAGACUGCCCUAUGGGUUGUAAACCUCUUUUGUCAGGGAGCAACGCCGGCUACGUGUAGCCGGACUGAGAGUACCUGAAGAAAAAGCAUCGGCUAACUCCGUGCCAGCAGCCGCGGUAAUACGGAGGAUGCGAGCGUUAUCCGGAUUUAUUGGUUUUAAAGGGUGCGUAGGCGGAAUGCCAAGUCAGCGGUAAAAUCGCGGGGCUCAACCUCGCUCCGCCGUUGAAACUGGCGGUCUUGAGUGGGCGAGAAGUAUGCGGAAUGCGUGGUGUAGCGGUGAAAUGCAUAGAUAUCACGCAGAACUCCGAUUGCGAAGGCAGCAUACCGGCGCUCAACUGACGCUGAAGCACGAAAGCGUGGGUAUCGAACAGGAUUAGAUACCCGUGUAGUC